CAAAGAAAAGCUCUUUCCAUCUUUAAUUUAGAAUUUUUUGCAGAUGAGAUAUAGAGUUUUCCUUGAGUAUCAAACAACUGACAGUCUCAGCACUGAAGCAGCACUUUAGGAUCAAUCAGUCCCAGAUCUUUUAUUUUUCUCUCCUGCUUUCUCAUUAUCACGAUCAUCUUUAUUUGUUGAUCUCCAAACCACAAGCUAUAAUCCUAUCAAGCUGCUUUCACCAGAUAGUUUCGCUAAAUUAGCAUGCCUACAUUUGUAUUUAGUGUAGAGGGAAAAGGCAGACACUUCUGUGGCUGUCCUUUCUUCUCCAAAACCUCUCCCAAAAAUUUUAGCUCAGGGAAGUCAAAAGAAUAUAAAGCUUCAGCUCAAAACCAGACUGCAUCUUGAAAAUUUACAAAAAAUUGAACAGAAAUAUUUACAACAAGGAGAGUCAGGAAACAACAUAAUUGAGUCUGAUGCAGAGAGAAGAAGUUUAAUUCACCAGGCAUUUAAAUCAUAGCUGUCUUUUCCCCAGUUAGGUUUAGAUGACUCUAAAUUAGGAUGGGAUUUUGUACCAGCUGAGCUUUGAAGGUAAAGAGAGGCUUUGGGGUAUGAGUUUCUGCCUAAAGCUUGGAUUCUCUACUUGGAAUUUUAGGGCCUUUAGGAACUUUAUCUUGCCUGACAUCACAGCUGAAAUAAACCCAGCUGGUAUGACACCAACAAAUUCAGGGACUUCAGCAGAUUCUUCCUGGGAAAGGUCUCUAGCCAAGGGUGGGAAUCACAAACCCAGCAGCAAACUCCGUGCAAAGCAAGCUCCAGUGCUGGGCUGGCUUCUUCCAGCUAGGAAGAACUUUGCAGCUUUCUUAUUACUUAGCUCUGAAUUGUACCUGGAGAGGCACUGAGAUUACUGAUGCAGAAAGCAGCAUUUUCUCAAGGAUCUUUUCACAGGGUGGUGAAGACAAAGCAAUCCUGUUCCAGCUGGAGACUCAAGGACAAGCUCUUCAAACUUCAGGCCCAAAGAACAAGCAACGUGAGAAGAGGAGGGCAGGCAAACAAGGAGGAUGUAACUCCAUAAUUUGAAGCUAUUAAUUGGACAAUUAACUCCUAUAUGCCAAUGGACUAAAAGUUACAAAAUGUAAGAUCUGGUGACCAAGCUCUCUUUUGCUUCCACCUUGGAGCCAUCUGGGCAGAGCCACAACUGUGGCUGUGGUACUGCCAGGGUGUGGCCUUUGAAGGCACUGCAAUAAAUAUCAAUAAAUAUCCUCUUUAUUCCUCUUAAA